rnacentral:rRNA from 1 species
UACGAAGGGGGCAAGCGUUGUUCGGAAUUACUGGGCGUAAAGGGCGCGUAGGCGGCUUAUCAAGUCAGGCGUGAAAUUCCCGGGCUCAACCUGGGGGCUGCGCUUGAUACUGAUUGGCUUGAAUGCGGGAGAGGAUAGUGGAAUUCCCAGUGUAGAGGUGAAAUUCGUAGAUAUUGGGAAGAACACCGGUGGCGAAGGCGGCUAUCUGGCCCGGUACUGACGCUGAGGUGCGAAAGCGUGGGGAGCAAACAGG